rnacentral:rRNA from 1 species
UACGGAGGGGGCUAGCGUUGUUCGGAAUUACUGGGCGUAAAGCGCGCGUAGGCGGACCUGCAAGUCGGGGGUGAAAGCCCGAGGCUCAACCUCGGAACUGCCUUCGAUACUGCGGGUCUCGAGUCCGGGAGAGGUGAGUGGAAUUCCUAGUGUAGAGGUGAAAUUCGUAGAUAUUAGGAAGAACACCAGUGGCGAAGGCGGCUCACUGGCCCGGUACUGACG